CACUGAACUAAAUCCCCAGCCCCAAGACAACAAAUUUCUGAUUGCAUGGAGUAUUUAAAUCGAAGAUGUGGAAUUCUUUGGAGGUUUAUCUCCUGCACUGGAAGGAUGGAACUGAUGCCCUUUCAAGAAACUUUACGAUAAGGGAACUUGCCAUUCACAAAUCAUCAUCCCCAGACUGCAGGAUGGAGCCACCACCAGGGCUGGGAGCCUGUCUGUCUUCCAGAGUAGAACCCCAUCACUAGAGGAACAAGCAGAGGGAAUUCAAGGAGGGACAAUGACCUGUUAAUCUGUACCUUGAGAAUCCAGGCUCCUAAAGCAGGAUGCAGGACAUUUUUGAGCCUUCCUAUAGUUCUGCAACUGCAUACCACAUGAGCAGUAUUCCUGGAACGGUCUGCCUUGGCUGGGGACUAUGGAUUUCCUGAUGGCUUCAGGAUAUACUUCUUCCCCGGAACCCAGUGUUAAGGUCCAGUCAGCUGUGGCAGGGAGGACAAGAAGUAACAUGAAGUAUUUGUCCUGCUUCUUCCCUAAGACUCCACUGCAUUCGAGCUUGAUAUUUUACAGAUGUGAACAACAACAUGUCCAUGUAUUUUUCAACACGGCACCAAACUACUACAAAGACGGAAGACUGGCCUCUGACAUCAUUCUGCCUACACUGUAAUCCUGACGCCACAUUAACCAGCUGCAGAGAUCUUACAGCACACAAGAGGAAAGUAGACACAAGCGAUUUUGAAGAGCAAGGCCUCACGUAAGAAGGCUGAGAGCCUGACUUCCUUUUUUGGUGACUCAGCAGAUGAAGACAGAGAUUUUAACUCGUUCCAGCAAACUACCCCAUUGCCUGACCUGUCUCAAUUUUCUAAGGCUGUUGACUGGGCGUUCCAAAGGCAGUCGUGAACAACACGGCAAUCCUCAAUGUCAACUCAGAUCUCUGUCAUGAAAACACUGGACCAUGCCCAGUUUCCAGGGUUGGAGAGAGACUUAUCACCCUAUUGAAUGCAAGUCCAACUAGGGAAUGCUGUGCAAAGCAAAAAUGAGUUGUACUAUCACCUAGAAACAAGCAAACAAAAUAAACAAAUGUGAGAUGACCAAAUUAAGGAAAAGAGGUGGUCAAGAAAACCAGGAUUUUCCCUCCUCUGAAAACCCUUGAGUGUGGUAACAAAUGGACCACGCUGCCUACUUAUUUUAAAGAGUUGACAGCUAUAAUAUGUGACAUGUAUCAAGUCUAUUUAUGUGCCAGGCAUUCUGUUAAAUGCUUGUACAUUUUCAUACUGAAUCCUUAUAAAUUCCCUUUAGUUAUGAAUAAUUUCUAA